rnacentral:rRNA from 1 species
AUUGAACGCUGGCGGCAUGCCUUACACAUGCAAGUCGAACGGCAGCACGGGUGCUUGCACCUGGUGGCGAGUGGCGAACGGGUGAGUAAUACAUCGGAACAUGUCCUGUAGUGGGGGAUAGCCCGGCGAAAGCCGGAUUAAUACCGCAUACGAUCUACGGAUGAAAGCGGGGGACCUUCGGGCCUCGCGCUAUAGGGUUGGCCGAUGGCUGAUUAGCUAGUUGGUGGGGUAAAGGCCUACCAAGGCGACGAUCAGUAGCUGGUCUGAGAGGACGACCAGCCACACUGGGACUGAGACACGGCUCAGACUCCUACGGGAGGCAGCAGUGGGGAAUUUUGGACAAUGGGCGAAAGCCUGAUCCAGCAAUGCCGCGUGUGUGAAGAAGGCCUUCGGGUUGUAAAGCACUUUUGUCCGGAAAGAAAUCCUUGGCCCUAAUACGGUCGGGGGAGGACGGUACCGGAAGAAUAAGCACCGGCUAACUACGU